GGCUCAGGACGAACGCUUGCGGCGUGCCUAAGAAAUGCAAGUCGAGCGAGUUGCAGCAAUGCAGCUAGCGGCGAACGGUCGCGUAACACGUAAGCAACCUACCUUCAAGACCGGGACAACAUCUCGAAAGGGGUGCUAAUACCGGAUGUGGUUGUGUUGGGACAUCCCGAUGCAACUAAAUCAGGCAACUGGCUUGGGGAUGGGCUUGCGGCCUAUCAGCUAGUUGGUGGGGUAACGGCCUACCAAGGCGACGACGGGUAGCUGGUCUGAGAGGACGGCCAGCCGGACUGGGACUGAGAUACGGCCCAGACUCCUACGGGGGGCAGCAAUUAGGAAUCUUGCACAAUGGGCGAAAGCCUGAUGCAGCGACGCCGCGUGGAGGACGAAGUCUCUCGGGAUGUAAACUCCUUUUGUUCGGGACGAAGAAUGUGACGGUACCGAACGAAUAAGCCUCGGCUAACUACGUGCCAGCAGCCGCGGUAAUACGUAGGGGGCGAGCGUUGUCCGAAGUUACUGGGCGUAAAGCGCGCGUAGGCGGGCCGUUAAGUGAGAAGUGAAAGGCUGGGGCUCAACCGCAGCAGUGCUUCUCAUACUGGCGGUCUUGAGGGCGGUAGGGAGAGGUGGAAUGGCUGGUGUAGCGGUGAAAUGCGUAGAUAUCAGUCGGAACACCGGUGGCGAAGGCGGCCUCUUGGGCCGUACCUGACGCUGAGGCGCGAAAGCCAGGGGAGCGAACGGGAUUAGAUACCCCGGUAGUCCUGGCCGUAAACGAUGGAUACUAGGUGCUGGGGGUAUUGACCCCCCCAGUGUCGUAGCUAACGCAUUAAGUAUCCCGCCUGGGGAGUACGGCCGCAAGGUUGAAACU
rnacentral:rRNA from 1 species